GUCCUGUGAGAUGAGGCAAUGACUGUUGAUUUUGCAUUUCACAGAUUUAAAUGUUCAAAGUACUAGCUAAUGGCUUCAAGCUCUCCUAAAGAAGUUCCCUUCCUCAGCUAAAAGAAAAGGUCCCGCUGAGUUUGAGAUGAGGACUUGCAUUCUGGAAAAGGUGGUUUGUCCCUGUGAAGGGGAGGUAUCUGUUUUCCAAUUUGGAAGCAGAUGGUCCCGCAUGAAGAGAGGCCAAGACUUCAGAAUCUUCACACUCAUUUCUGUCCACCCGUUGUGUCACUAUCUGCCUUUUCAGCCCAAGGAGAGUAGCAGUGGCCAGAACCAUCACCAGGAGGAGAUAAUCCACAAGUUGGCCAUGUAGUUGAGAAAAAUCGGGGACAGCAUUGAUUGUGUUCAAGAGAUCCAAGAUUUACAUAUCCUCUGAUGUGCUUCUAUAAGAUUACAAUCUUUUAGAGGACAAAAACUUGUUUUUUUUC
rnacentral:lncRNA from 1 species